CUACGGGAUGCUGCAGUGGGGAAUAUUGCACAAUGGGCGCAAGCCUGAUGCAGCCAUGCCGCGUGUAUGAAGAAGGCCUUCGGGUUGUAAAGUACUUUCAGCGGGGAGGAAGGGAGUAAAGUUAAUACCUUUGCUCAUUGACGUUACCCGCAGAAGAAGCACCGGCUAACUCCGUGCCAGCAGCCGCGGUAAUACGGAGGGUGCAAGCGUUAAUCGGAAUUACUGGGCGUAAAGCGCACGCAGGCGGUUUGUUACGUCAGAUGUGAAAUCCCCGGGCUCAACCUGGGAACUGCAUCUGAUACUGGCAAGCUUGAGUCUCGUAGAGGGGGGUAGAAUUCCAGGUGUAGCGGUGAAAUGCGUAGAGAUCUGGAGGAAUACCGGUGGCGAAGGCGGCCCCCUGGACGAAGACUGACGCUCAGGUGCGAAAGCGUGGGGAGCAAACAGGAUUAGAUACCCCUGUAGUC
rnacentral:rRNA from 1 species